rnacentral:rRNA from 1 species
AGUGAACGUUGGCGGCGUGGAUUAGGCAUGCAAGUCGAGCGAGAACCGUAGCAAUACGGGGACAGCGGCGAAAGGGACAGUAAUGUGUAGGUACCUACCCCGGGGUCUGGGAUAGCUGCGGGAAACUGCAGGUAACACCGGAUAAUGUCUUCGGACCAAAGGUGUGAUUCCACCUUGGGAGGGGCCUGCAUCCUAUUAGGUUGUUGGCGGGGUAACGGCCCACCAAGGCAACGAUGGGUAGAGGGUGUGAGAGCACGACCCGCGUCAUUGGGACUGAGAUACUGCCCAGACACCUACGGGUGGCUGCAGUCGAGGAUCUUCGGCAAUGGGCGAAAGCCUGACCGAGCGACGCCGCGUGCGGGAUGAAGGCCUUCGGGUUGUAAACCGCUGUCGUAGAGGAGGAAAUGCAGGGGGGUUCUCCCUUCUGUUUGACCUAUUCUAGGAGGAAGGACGGGCUAAGUUCGUGCCAGCCGCCGCCGUAA